GAUCAUGGCUCAGGAUGAACGCUGGCGGCGUGCUUAACACAUGCAAGUCGAGCGAAGCACUUUUGCGGAUUUCUUCGGAUUGAAGCAAUUGUGACUGAGCGGCGGACGGGUGAGUAACGCGUGGGUAACCUGCCUCAUACAGGGGGGAUAACAGUUGGAAACGGCUGCUAAUACCGCAUAAGCGCACAGUACCGCAUGGUACCGUGUGAAAAACUCCGGUGGUAUGAGAUGGACCCGCG
rnacentral:rRNA from 1 species